rnacentral:lncRNA from 1 species
GUAGCCCAUUGACUAUGAUACUCCAUAAAUCGUAGUCAUGUGCUUGAAUGAAAAUGCGCAUGCGUGCUUUCCAAUGUGUGUAGUUUAUACCAUUAAAUAGUGGAGGUCUAUCAAUUAAUUGUCCCUCACUCAUAGAACAUCCUACUUGGGUUGUCAUGAUCUUUAACUCUUGAUUGUGAGAUCAAUGAGUACUAUUAGAGCACCUUGCUCUGAUACCACUUGUUGCCCAAGGUGACAAGCCGAGGGGGGGGGGGUGAAUUGGUUUCUUUUAAAUUUAAACUAUCUUACUCAAGUCAAAUAGAUGGUUAGUAAGCUAAGGCAAUUUACAACACAAACAACACAAAGUAUAGUGGUUCGGUGCUCUCCUUAGCACCUACGUCCACUCCCCAAGCGACCCCUUGGAAAUUCACUAUAAUCUCGCGGAUUACAGUUGGAUUGUUUUUCGGGCUCACAAUCCAAAAACCUUUGUUGGUUUUACGGGCUCACCAACGAACCUUUACAAUUUGGUUUUCCGGGUU